UUCUAUGUUGAGAGCGGGGUCGGACAGCUGCUCCGAGGCCACCACCGCGGCCAGUAGCAGAGCCAGCCGGAGAUGAUGGACUUGAGAAGAGAGUCAAUAAGAGGGAGCCGUAAGAUGGCAUAAAAGACCAGCCGGCGCUGCCGUAGCUUUAUCUCAGUUUCACAAGGUGACCUAAUGCGGAGGGUUGGCCUUGGUCUGCGUACUUUACAAUCACAGAGCUGAACAGCUGUACACAUCUGUAUUAGCUUGCCUACAAAUUAAUGCUGCUCGCCCGUUGAUUCGGAAAGGAGUCACUGGUAGGAGAUACAGAAAGCGGCCGUUCGGAACGUGCGUGCAACCUGAUUUCGAAAAAUAAAAUAAUAAUCCUCAUGCCGGAGCCCGGUGCUCUGUCUUUAAAACAGGCAUCGGUGUCCUCGCUUCGAGCUGGAAGUUGACAAGAACGUGCCAAUGCAAUCGAAGACUCGUCGCGUCCCUUCGCGAUAACGUUUCUGUGUAUAUUUUGCCACUGUAGUGACGAGAAAACAUUGCCAUCGACCGCGAAAGAACCGCCAAUAAAACAUUUUUUUCAUUUCAAUUUAGAUCGUGGAGUCACAGGAUAUUGGAGCUGCUUCCUGAACCCAGAAAACGUUGCGCGUUGAGACUUUAAAUCGGACUACGGGACGUCAACGAGGUCCUCGCAGACAUUUCCUCCGAAGCGACGCACAUGGUCUCAGACUACAAUGAAAAGGGUUCAUUAUACGAACAGAAGGAACAUUAUUGAACAGAACUGAAGUAACAAUUGAAACACUAUAACGCACCAUGACGCCGAGGAGCGCGCGACGCUGCUCUGGUGGACUUUGGCGACACCUACAGUUCCAGUGUUCCGUUACACGCCUUAUUUCCCCGCUCCAGGUCCGUGGAGCAGAGGCGGGCGACCGAGGUUUCCUGACCUGUCUGUGGCCACUCAACCGCAGAAAUGCCCACACUGUUAUUUGAAUGAAUGAAUGAAUGAAUGAAUGGUUUGGAGCUCUGACAUUCAAAGUAAUAACGCCUUAGCUUGACAU